AGAGUUUGAUCCUGGCUCAGGAUGAACGCUGGCGGCGUGCUUAACACAUGCAAGUCGAACGGGAAGCGGCCUUCGGGCCGUGGAGAGUGGCGAACGGGUGCGUAACACGUAGCUUAUCUGCCCUGAAGACGGGAAUAACUUGCGGAAACGUGAGCUAAUACCCGAUAAGCUCCCGGCUGCUAGAGAGCCGAGAGAAAAAGCUAAGGCGCUUUGGGAUGAGGCUGCGGUCCAUCAGCUAGUUGGUGAGGUAAAGGCUCACCAAGGCAACGACGGAUAGGGGACCUGAGAGGGUGACCCCCCACACUGGCACUGAGACACGGGCCAGACUCCUACGGGAGGCAGCAGUGAGGAAUAUUGCGCAAUGGAGGCAACUCUGACGCAGCGACGCCGCGUGGGCGAAGAAGGUCUUCGGAUCGUAAAGCCCUUUUCUCUGUGACGAGACAAGGACGGUAGCAGAGGAAUAAGUCUCGGCUAACUACGUGCCAGCAGCCGCGGUAAAACGUAGGAGGCAAGCGUUAUCCGGAGUUACUGGGCGUAAAGCGCGUGUAGGCGGCGAUGCAGGUCGGAUGUGAAAGCUCCCAGGCUAAACCGGGAGAGGUCAUUCGAAACCGUGUGGCUAGAGGAUGGCAGAGGCGUGUGGAAUUCCCGGGUGUAGUGGUGAAAUGCGCA
rnacentral:rRNA from 1 species